AUUGAACGCUGGCGGCAGGCCUAACACAUGCAAGUCGAAUGGUAACAGGAAACAGCUUGCUGUUUCGCUGACGAGUGGCGGACGGGUGAGUAAUGUCUGGGAAACUGCCUGAUGGAGGGGGAUAACUACUGGAAACGGUAGCUAAUACCGCAUAACGUCGCAAGACCAAAGAGGGGGACCUUCGGGCCUCUUGCCAUCAGAUGUGCCCAGAUGGGAUUAGCUAGUAGGUGGGGUAACGGCUCACCUAGGCGACGAUCCCUAGCUGGUCUGAGAGGAUGACCAGCCACACUGGAACUGAGACACGGUCCAGACUCCUACGGGAGGCAGCAGUGGGGAAUAUUGCACAAUGGGCGCAAGCCUGAUGCAGCCAUGCCGCGUGUAUGAAGGAGGCCUUCGGGUUGUAAAGUACUUUCAGCGGGGAGGAAGGGAGUAAAGUUAAUACCUUUGCUCAUUGACGUUACCCGCAGAAGAAGCACCGGCUAACUCCGUG
rnacentral:rRNA from 1 species